rnacentral:misc_RNA from 1 species
AGACACAUAAACGCAGACAGACACGCACACUGGUGCGCACCGGGUUCGGUUUCUUUUCUUUUUGUGUGUGUGUUGUUGUUGUAUGUUCGACUGGAUCUGCUCCCAGUGCAAGCAUAUGCACGAAUACGAACGCCGACAGCUGCACACGCUUGACGCGGCGUCUUAAGAGCAGCAGCACUUCUCUCUGUAACCCUGGUUUCCGCUCAUGUUUUUCUGUCGUAUGCUCUGUUUUGCACACACACACACACACACACACACGUGCGCGCAGGGACACACUGUUAAUUGGAAAGGCUACUUAACCGAACUCCUUUCCGUCCACCCACCACGACCACUCCUGAUGUCGUCUUUUUAUUCCGACUUUUCGGUGAUAUGAGGGGGCGGCGAGAAAAGGAGAGAGCUCAUGACGCGGUGAGCAGAGUUGUGAGCAAGAGGGGUAGAAGGCGAGGAUGAUCUGUGCGUGGUGUGUCUGUGUUUCCAUGCUUAAAGCUCUCGAAAUAUCUUCCUAGUCCGCUCCCCCUCCCCAUCACUCCUUCCCCACACAUACCUUUUCUUGCCUUCCCGGCCAUGUAG